rnacentral:rRNA from 1 species
UCGCUACUACCGAUUGAAUGUCUUAGUGAGCUUUGGGGAUUAAUGUACUUUUGUGGUUCGCCACAAUGUACGUUGAGAACCGAAUCAAACUUGAAUAUUUAGAGGAAGUAA